rnacentral:rRNA from 1 species
UACAGGGGGUGCAAACGUUGCUCGGAAUCAUUGGGCGUAAAGCGCACGUAGGCGGUUUGUUAUGUCGGAUGUGAAAGCCCUUGGCUCAACUGAGGAAGUGCAUCCGAAACUGGCAAGCUAGAGUACUAAAGAGGGUCGCGGAAUUCCUGGUGUAGCGGUGAAAUGCGCAGAUAUCAGGAGGAACACCAAUGGCGAAGGCAGCUCGCUGGGACGGUACUGACGCUGAGGCGCGAAAGCGUGGGGAGCAAACAGG